rnacentral:rRNA from 1 species
UACAGAGGUCUCAAGCGUUGUUCGGAUUCAUUGGGCGUAAAGGGCGCGUAGGCGGCGAGGCAAGUCAGGUGUGAAAUUUCGGAGCUUAACUCCGAAACUGCAUUUGAUACUGCGGUGCUUGAGGACUGGAGAGGAGACUGGAAUUCACGGUGUAGCAGUGAAAUGCGUAGAUAUCGUGAGGAAGACCAGUGGCGAAGGCGGGUCUCUGGACAGUUCCUGACGCUGAGGCACGAAGGCCAGGGGAGCAAACGGG